rnacentral:rRNA from 1 species
UAUUGCACAAUGGGGGAAACCCUGAUGCAGCAACGCCGCGUGAGUGAUGACGGUCUUCGGAUUGUAAAGCUCUGUCUUCAGGGACGAUAAUGACGGUACCUGAGGAGGAAGCCACGGCUAACUACGUGCCAGCCGCCGCGGUAAUACGUAGGUGGCAAGCGUUGUCCGGAUUUACUGGGCGUAAAGGGAGCGUAGGUGGAUAUUUAAGUGGGAUGUGAAAUACUCGGGCUUCACCUGGGUGCUGCAUUCCAAACUGGAUAUCUAGAGUGCAGGAGAGGAAAGUAGAAUUCCUAGUGUAGCGGUGAAAUGCGUAGAGAUUAGGAAGAAUACCAGUGGCGAAGGCGACUUUCUGGACUGUAACUGACACUGAGGCUCGAAAGCGUGGGGAGCAAACAGG